rnacentral:lncRNA from 10 species
GAGGCGGACAGAUCACUUGAGGGGACUGAAAUCGGCGUGUCCCAAGGUUCCCAUGUCAGCUGGCUUCCUGCUGAGUGCAGGCCCUGGGAGGUUCUGGCAAGAGAUUGGUGAAUAGAAGAAAGGGAGAAGCCCAGGAAGUAGCAACUCUAGCAACAGCUGCAUCUGUUUCGUGGCUCCAGCUCUGGCCAGACAGGCAGCAUGUGUUCAGUAGAUUUUUGAAUAAGGAAGUAUAAUUUCCCAGAAGUCAUAAGUAUCCAUCUUCUGUCUUCCUUUGGUGUUCCACUUCGUGGUUCUGGAGUUACACGGGAAUUAGGAUGAUAUUUUGCAACAGUUGUACACGGUACCUGAGGACUGUUUUGCGA